rnacentral:rRNA from 1 species
GUAUGCACUGGCUUCGCUGAUUCCUCCUUUCUGAAGAACUGUAAUGCCAUUAAUUUGGUGUUGCAGGGAAACAGGACUGUUACUUUGAAAAAAUUAGAGUGUUUAAAGCAGGCUAACGCUUGAAUACAUUAGCAUGGAAUAAUGAAAUAGGACGUUUGAUCCUAUUUUGUUGGUUUCUAGGAUUGACGUAAUGAUUAAUAGGGAUAGUUGGGGGCAUUAGUAUUCAAUUGUCAGAGGUGAAAUUCUUGGAUUUAUUGAAGACUGACUACUGCGAAAGCAUUUGCCAAGGAUGUUUUCAUUAAUCAAGAACGAAAGUUAGGGGAUCGAAGACGAUCAGAUACCGUCGUAGUCUUAACCAUAAACUAUGCCGACUAGGGAUCGGAUGAUGUUAAUUUUUUAAUGACUCAUUCGGCGCCUUACG